UGAGUCCUGUUGCCUCGGGGGGUUCUCCCGCCAGAGGAUACAUCAAAACUCCUGUUUUAACGGNGUUGUCUGAGCUGCAAGCAACGAAUCAAAACUUUCAACAACGGAUCUCUUGGUUCUGGCAUCGAUGAAGAACGCACGUCGAAAUGCGAUAAGUAGUGUGAAUUGCAGAAUUCAGUGAAUCAUCGAAUCUUUGAACGCACAUUGCGCCCCUUGGUAUCCCGAGGGGCAUGCCUGUUCGAGCGUCAUUUCACCACUCUAGAGCCCGGCUUGGUGUUGGGCGACGUCUCCUUUAGGGACGCGCCUCGAAACGUCGUCGGCGGCGUGGCACCGGCUUUAAGCGUAGCAGAAUCUUUCGCUUUGAAAGUCGGGGCCUCGUCUGCCGGAAGACCUACUCGUAAGGUUGACCUCGGAUCANGUAGGGAUACCCGCUGAACUUAAGCAUAUCAAUAA
rnacentral:rRNA from 1 species